rnacentral:lncRNA from 1 species
UCGUCUACGGUACAAGGACUUUGGGGAACUGGCGCUGACAAACUCCUAGAACUGCUAGAAGAGGAGAUAUCAGAAGAUAUUUUGGAUCAAAUGGAAGCCACAAAAAUCUCAUAAAAAAUCAGGAAAAAUAGCAAACAAGCCCUCGAGGAAGCUAAAUGAAUAGAAUACAAAGAAGAAAGGACAGGAAAAUGACAAGAAGUUUCGAAACUAACCUAGAUUGGCCCCAGGAGUGCAGAAAGAUGGCAAGGAUGAUGGGAGUCGACUCAGAGGAUGCCUAAAGCCGAGAAGGAUGCUAGAGGAAGCUGGAGCUCUCAGAGAAGAGGAGGGAAACCGAGGGAUUCUCUCAGGCAAAAUGAAAUCCC